AUGGUUGAGGAGUUUACUGAAAUCAAUCGUAUCAUGGAGAAGACUGGGGACUUCACAAUGAAAAAUGUUCCUCCACCCACAACAGCAAAGGCUGCUGCCGUCGCAAGCAAGUGCUGCCCCGCUGUCUCCUCACGUCAAAGACUGAAGCAUUGCCGCCGCUGUUUCUUUGCGCACGGCAGACAUGCAUCGACCCGCAAUUUUUUUUUCACGUGCCGGAGAGCCAGAAUGUGGAGCUCGACAAAUACUCGAAAUCCUGGUUUUGGCCAUCUACGUGCAGUUCCACCGUUUGUUAUGAACAGAAAACUGAGACAUGAAAAAGGAUAUGCAACUGUCAAGAGAAGAGAGUGCAGUAACCACUGGAGAGUGGAGACAGUGGAAGAAGGUGGGAACUACAUGUUCAUUGCAACGCUUUGCUACUUACCAUUUGCAUGUGGAGGAUGCUCCCGGGUGAUUGCCAAAGCAUGCCAAUUACCAUUUGCAGCUACUAUGUGA
rnacentral:rRNA from 1 species